GGGCGAUUAGCUCAGUUGGAUAGAGCGCUGGUCUCCGGAACCAGAGGUCGUGGGUUCAAGUCCCACAUCGCCCACCA
rnacentral:tRNA from 1 species